AUUGAACGCUGGCGGCAGGCCUAACACAUGCAAGUCGAACGAGUGGCGGACGGGUGAGUAAUGUCUGGGAAACUGCCUGCUGGAGGGGGAUAACUACUGGAAACGGUAGCUAAUACCGCAAACCAUCGGAUGUGCCCCGAUGGGAUUAGCUAGUAGGGGGGGUAAAGGCUCACCUGGGCGACGAUCCCUAGCUGGUCUGAGAGGAGGACCGGCCACAAGGGAACUGAGACACGGUCAAGACGCGUACGGGAGGCAGCAGAGGGGAAUAUUGCACAAUGGGCGCAAGCAGGAUGCAGCCAUGCCGCGGGUAUGAAGAAGGCCUUCGGGUGGUAAAGUACUUUCAGCGGGGAGGCGUUACCCGCAGAAGAAGCACCGGCUAACGCCGUGCCAGCAGCCGCGGUAAUAC
rnacentral:rRNA from 1 species